rnacentral:miRNA from 1 species
AGAGGGGAGGAUGAGAGAAAGGAGUAACAGAAGUGCAAAAUCUUGACAGUGAAAACAAUUUGAAAUAGAUUUCAAUAUUUAGUUUUUGUUUUCAUUUUUGUUACUCCUCCCUCCCAUCCUCUCCUCUCAUCUUCCCUC